AGACGGGACCCGCACAAGCGGUGGAUGAUGUGGAUUAAUUCGAUGCAACGACGAAAACCUUACCUACCUUGACAUGUCCGGAAUCCCGAAGAGAUUUGGGAGUGCUCGCAAGAGAACCGGAACACAGGUGCUGCAUGGCUGUCGUCAGCUCGUGUCGUGAGAUGUUGGGUUAAGUCCCGCAACGAGCGCAACCCUUGUCAUUAGUUGCCAUCAUUUGGUUGGGCACUCUAAUGAGACUGCCGGUGACAAACCGGAGGAAGGUGGGGAUGACGUCAAGUCCUCAUGGCCCUUAUGGGUAGGGCUUCACACGUCAUACAAUGGUCGGUACAGAGGGUUGCCAACCCGCGAGGGGGAGCUAAUCCCACAAAGCCGAUCGUAGUCCGGAUCGCAGUCUGCAACUCGCCUGCAUGAAGCCGGAAUCGCUAGUAAUCGCGGAUCAGCAUGCCGCGGUCGAAUACGUUCCCGGGCCUU
rnacentral:rRNA from 1 species